AACGAACGCUGGCGGCAUGCCUAACACAUGCAAGUCGAACGAGACCUUCGGGUCUAGUGGCGCACGGGUGCGUAACGCGUGGGAACCUGCCCUUAGGUUCGGAAUACCUCCCCGAAAGGGGUGCUAAUACCGGAUAAUGUCUUCGGACCAAAGAUUUAUCGCCUUUGGAUGGGCCCGCGUUGGAUUAGCUAGUUGGUAGGGUAAAAGCCUACCAAGGCGACGAUCCAUAGCUGGUCUGAGAGGAUGAUCAGCCACACUGGGACUGAGACACGGCCCAGACUCCUACGGGAGGCAGCAGUGGGGAAUAUUGGACAAGGGGCGAAAGCCUGAUCCAGCAAUGCCGCGUGAGUGAUGAAGGCCUUAGGGUUGUAAAGCUCUUUUACCCGGGAUGAUAAUGACAGUACCGGGAGAAUAAGCUCCGGCUAACUCCGUG
rnacentral:rRNA from 1 species